UUCAGUGUCGUAACAUUGUAAAGUUACAUUCGCUUCUGUACCAUGUUAUCUUGCUUUUUCACACCCACACACUCAUCUUCAUUUUUUGUGCUUUGCUUAUUACUUGGUAACCAGGACAUGAGUUCUAGUCUCUCUAGCAAAGUUUGGAGCUUGACUCAUGCUCAUUAAUCUCGGGCUACAAACUCCUUAUCAUUAUGUUAUUGGUGUGAUUCAAGCCCGUUUUGAGACAGCACCUGUUGGAUUCCUCACGUGUAGUACCCUCACGUUCGGCUCUCCAGCGAGUAGAGGCUCUUUUGGUCACCUCCAAGAAGGGUUGCUACAUGUUGUUGGCCCUCUCUUACCUUUUUCUCAAGUGAAGUCUAACCAAGUUAUCCAAAGUCUGCAACAACAUCUGUGAGAAAUGGCAGGGAAGAAAUUUCACCUUUCGAUUUUGUUGUGGGAGAUGUUGUUUGCUUGAAGAUUGGUGACCAAGUUCCAGCUGACGGAUUGUUCAUAGACGGGCACUCGCUACAAGUUGAUGAAUCAAGCAUGACACGGAAAAGAGAUCGUGUAGAAGUUAAUCUAAGCCAAAAUCCUUUCUUGUUCUCUAGCGCCAAGGUGAUUGAUGGCUUUAAUCGAAUGCCUGUCACCUCUGUUGGCACGAAUACAACAGGGGUGAGUUGAUGAGCACAAUCAAUCACGACGCCUUUGCAAGCUCAGCUCAGCUCAACACGCUAAUCUCAUCAAUUGGGAAGGUUGGUUUGACAGUUACCUUUCCUAGUCCAUAUGGUAGAAAAGGGAAUUUUUUUGGGUUGUUCUGGAGCUAAACAUUUCUGUGUCGAAGCCUUCAAUUCAACAAAGAAAGGAGCUGAGAAUAUGAUCAAUGUGUAUUGGAAAGGCGCUCCAGAGAUGAUACUAGCAAUGUGCUCAUAUUAAUAUUAUGUCUCUCUGGAAACGUUAAAGCCCUGGAUGAUGUUGAAAGGAAGAAAUUUGAUCAAAUAAUUCAAGGUAUGGAAGCCAAAAAUCUCCGAUGCAUCGCUUUUGCACACAAGCAACUUCCAGAAGAGGCGAACAAAGAUGGAAAAACACACCGAAAGAUAAAAGAAAACUGCUUGAUCUUUUUGGGUAUGACAGGCCUCAAGGAUCUUUGUCGACCAGGUGUGAAGAAAGUUGUGAAAGCAUGUCAGUAUGCUGGAGUGAAACUCAAAAUGAUCACUGGCGACAAUGUUUUCACUGCUAGAGAGCAAUAUCCACUGUUUGUGGCCUAACGAGGGCAUGAAUAGUGAAAAAUGCAGCAACAACAAACAACAGCCAGACAAGAGGAAUAUGCAGAGAAUGAGGACAAAAGAGGGGGCAAAAAAAGAAAUGAACUCAAUAAGCCAACCAAUUGGCCAAAGACAUGGAGGCAAUUCUGAUACAGACCACUUGUUCCUGUGUAUGCCACACCUUCUACCAUAGCUCCACCAUUCAUGUCCUGGUUAGACCCAAAUAACCCACAUUAAGUGGCAAUAGCUCUAGCAGUGAAAACAUUGUCUCCAGUGAUCAUUUUGAUGUUCACUCCAGCAUACUGACAGGCUUCCACAACUUUCUUCACACCAGGUCGACAUAGAUCCUCAAGGCCUACCAACCCCAAAAGUAUCAAACAGUUGUCUUUUACCUUUUGGUGUUGUUAUUCCAUCUUCAUUCUCUUCUUCUCGAACUUGCUUGUGUGCAAAAGUGAUGCAUCGGAGGCCACUAGUUACCAUACCUUGAAUUAUUUGAUCAAAUUUCUUCCUUUCAACGUCAUCCAGGGUUUUGAUGUUUCUAGAGAUAUCAUAGUAAUACGAGCACAUUGCCAGUACCAUCUAUGCAGCCCAUUUCCAAUGUGCAUUGAUCUUAUUGUCAGCUUUCUUCCUAUGUAUCCAUGUUUAGUUCCAAAAUGGUCCAAGAAAGAAAGCUAUGAUGGGGUUAGAUUGUUGAGUCGGACUUGCAAAGGCGUUUGCUCGUUGGGAACACAACUAAUUGUGCUCAUCAACUCACCCUAUGUUGUGUCCAUGGUAACAGAGGUGACAAGCAUUUGAGCAGAGCCAUGGACACCUUAGUGCCAGAGAACAAGAAUGGAUUUUGGGGGUAGAUUAAAUUGUACGUGAUCACUUUCCCCUGUCAUGCUUGAUUCAUCAACUUGUAGCAAGUGCCCGUCUAUGAACAACCCGUUAGCUGGAACCUGGUCACCAAUCUUCAAGCAAAUGACAUCUCCAACAACAAUUUCGAAAAUUGGGAUUUGUUGCUUCCUACCAUUUCAUUUCAUAAAGUCAUAAACCAUAUCAUUUUAAGUUGUAAAACGUAGUCUUCUUCUUUUUUUCUUUUUUUCUUUUUUGUAUCUUUUACAAUCGUUAGUUGUAAAAUAGAAAUUUUCAUUCUAUUCAUGAAAUGAAGAGUAUGUAGAUA